UUAGCUGCUGGUUUAGCUGUUGCUGGAUUUUAUCAGCUUCUUAAUGCCCUUGAUCUUUAUGUAACUGCUGCAGUCGGUGGUUGAUUGAGCAUGGGCUCGUGCUGCCUGUUCAUGCUGCUUGGUUUCCACUGCUGCUUGGAUGCUUGGAUCUCGUGCUGCUUGGAGUCCACUGCGGUUGGGCUAGUUAGCUGCUAGUUGCGUGCAUAUAAGUGCUGCUUGGAUGCAUGUGGUUGGUUACCACAGCUACUUGGAUGCAUGUUUGUGCUGCUUGGAUUCCUGUCUAGCUGCUUCUCGUCAUGUUGGUUGUUGCAGUGGAGGGCUGCUAAGCUUGGUUCAUAUCUGGUCUGAUUAUAUAUGGAAUCUGCAAAGGGCUGUUGCAGUAGGGGCUCUGGUGUUGUAAGCCAAAUAUUGUACUGCUAGAUGAGAGCUAUUUGUCUUGGCAGUUUAGCUCCUAUUGUCUUGUAGCUAAAAUUUGUAAUAUUCUUCCGGUUGGUUUGAUGCAGAUCUGUUUUUUUCUGGUAUCAAGCCAUUUGAUGGUUGUUUACUGUUGUUUCCUUGUUCCUUGUUGGAUCCCUGUAUGCUAGUGAGUAGCUUUGGUUUACUACUACCAUCAUAGGGCCUGUCCUAUGAUGGCUAUGGUAUACUGGUUGGGUUUGUCCCAUGUUCUUAUUCUUUCUUUUAUUUAAGUCUAAAUUUAGCAAAAAAAAAAAAGAAAGAAGAAAAAAGAACAAGAGUCCUAGCCCUGAUGGGUUUACUGUAAAUUUCUUCCUCCACGCUUGGGACAUUGUUGGGGAGGUCUUCACUGCUGCUAUUCGUUCCUUUUUCAGUCAGGGAUGUCUACUUAGGGGG
rnacentral:lncRNA from 1 species